CCUACGGGAGGCAGCAGUGGGGAAUAUUGGGCAAUGGGCGCAAGCCUGACCCAGCAACGCCGCGUGAAGGAAGAAGGCUUUCGGGUUGUAAACUUCUUUUCUCAGGGACGAAGCAAGUGACGGUACCUGAGGAAUAAGCCACUGCUAACUACGUGCCAGCUGCCGCGGUAAUACGUCGGUGGCAAGCGUUAUCCGGAUUUACUGGGUGUAAAGGGCGUGUAGGCGGGGACGCAAGUCAGAUGUGAAAACCACGGGCUCAAACUGUGGCCUGUAUUUGAAACUGUGUUUCUUGAGAACUGGAGAGGCAGACGGAAUUCCUAGUGUAGCGGUGAAAUGCGUAGAUAUUAGGAGGAACACCAGUGGCGAAGGCGGUCUGCUGGACAGCAACUGACGCUGAGGCGCGAAAGCGUGGGGAGCAAACAGGAUUAGAUACCCCUGUAGUC
rnacentral:rRNA from 1 species